rnacentral:rRNA from 1 species
AGUGAACGCUGGCGGCAGGCCUAAUACAUGCAAGUCGAACGGCAGCACAGCAGAGCUUGCUCUGUGGGUGGCGAGUGGCGGACGGGUGAGGAAUACAUGGGAAUCUGCCCAGUCGUGGGGGAUAACGUAUGGAAACGUACGCUAAUACCGCAUGCGCCCUUUGGGCGAAAGCCGGGGACCUUCGGGCCUGGCGCGAUUGGAUGAGCCCAUGUUCGAUUAGCUAGUUGGCGGGGUAAAGGCCUACCAAGGCGACGAUCGAUAGCUGGUCUGAGAGGAUGAUCAGCCACACUGGGACUGAGACACGGCCCAGACUCCUACGGGAGGCAGCAGUAGGGAAUAUUGGACAAUGGGCGCAAGCCUGAUCCAGCCAUGCCGCGUGAGUGAAGAAGGCCCUCGGGUUGUAAAGCUCUUUUGUCCGGAAAGAAAAGCAUUCGGUUAAUACCCGGGUGUUCUGACGGUACCGGAAGAAUAAGCACCGGCUAACUUCGUG